AAAAAAGAGGAUCAAAAUGAAUAAGGCCAUAACUUAAGAGACUAAAACCACUAAUCUUUCCUUUAUGUUAGGUAUCUUUCCCCGUAAAAAGAAAAAAGAAUCGCCGCCGUCAGUCCCUCCUUCCACGCGCCGCCGUGCCGCGAGUGUUCCACACCGACUGUUGUUCUCCGUAACUGUAAGUCUAUUUUUUUUUUUUAAAAUAAAAUAAAAUAUUUCAGGCCUUAUUUUUAGUUUUUAAUUAUUUUGCUUGUCUCUCUGCCAAUACAAAUUGGAGUUGUUUUGGAAUUUUUGUGAGUGAAUUGGAGUGAUGAAAACAACUUUUUGGAGUUUUUCGAAGGAAAAUUGUAACAAUUAUAUGUCCAAACAGUUUAUAUGCCCAUAAACAUGUAUUGUAUGGGCAGACAGUGGCGGAUCCAGGAUUUUUGUUGAGGGUGUUCGAAAAAUAAAAAUGUUGUGCUUGGAAUUUGAACUUGGAUCUCAAGGUAAAUUAUGAACCCCCUAAACCAUUGAGUCAACCUCUAGUCUUAUUUUUAGGGUGUUCAAAAUCUAUAUAUGCACAUUAGAAAAAGAAAAAAAAGAAAACUACCUUAUAUAUACCGUGAAAUUUUUUGCCGAGGGUGUUCCGGAUAACCCUUGGAUAGGAAGGUGUGGAAGUCGAGGAUUAAGGUAGAUGGUUAGUAGGUACUAGAAGUGUUAUCUUACUUUUAGUCGUAUGUUUUAGGGUAGUCAUGUAGUUUUUUUUUCGCUAAUGUGUAUUGAUAUAUGUUAUUGCAUUUUUGUACUUUUGCUAUUUUUGCCGUCCCUUUUUCUUUUCUUAAGUUUCUGCAUCGGUUACAUUUCUUUUGAGCCGAGGGUCUAUCGGAACAGCCUCUCUAUUCCAAAGAUAGAGGUAAGGUCUGCGUACAUCUUACCCUCCCCAAACCCCACUUGUGGGAUUACACUGGGUAUGUUGUUGUUGUUGGUGUUCUGGAUAACACCUAGAUACGCCCCUGGGGGCAGACACAUAUUUUGAAGUGAUUUGUGAGACUUUUUUUGCUGUUGCAUUAUCCCUGUUCCAUUGGUAUGUAAUUUGUAUGGUUAUAAUCAUCAUAUUGGUGGCUACUCAUUUGCAUGAAUAGCUCUCAUUGAAUUAGACCAGAGUUCUGUAUUUGUGGUCUAAAAUGUUUAUGACAUCCUGAAACAAAAAUGCCAAAAGGAAAGUUAAUAUAUUUGUGCACUACAUUGAAAGGUUAAGCUGCAUAGUUUUAAUUUUCUGAAAAACUUAAAUACUUGUGUUGUAAAUUGUAACAAUCUUUCACCUAUAUCCUUCCAGUACUGGAAAGAUCCAGGUUUCUUUAAGGACAUUAUGCAAAUUUGGUGUCUGUACUGUCAGAUGUGAAUGGGGAAAGUCAUUAUAAUUUCAUAUUUUAGUGUAGAUAGUAUUCAUGUUUUUCCUCCACAGUAUAGUCAAAAGACCACAAUUUUACCAAGGUAUUACAAGUUCAAAUUACUGACAUAUCUAGUCAUAGAUUUUUACUACAAUGUUAUACAUGUGAAAGGAAAAAAGAACAUAUUUCUCUUUUCCAUUCAAUUCCCUCUUUCUCCCAUUAAACUAUACAUCAUUAAAGUCCACAAGUACAAUCCAGUUCAAAUUAAUUCAUGUGUUCGAAUCCACAGAUGUCCAGAUUUGUUGCAGGCAUUAAACCAAUUAGUGCAUAUAUGUUGGUUUAUAAAGGGUUUAUCAUUUAAGAUGAUUAAGUGAUAUCUGUUGUUACUGUUUAAUCAUGAGAAAUUAGUUUGAUUUGAUGCAUACAGUGGAUCGAAGUAAUUUUUCUCGUAAGUCGAUUGGCUCAGUUGGCCUUCGCAAACAUAUGAAAUAGAAAUUAAAAGAUAAAAACCUUACAUCCUUGCAAUAAUGCUUAAAAAGGUUUUACUUCUCCCCAUCAGGUGCCUUCAACUGCACGCCAAAGAAAGAUGAAAGAACAGAUGGCUAUAUUAGGGAAUAAUAGGAUUGAAGAUGUUCGGUGGCUUUGUUCCUUAACCGAGUCUGAGCUUGUUUGAAAGUUCUAAUACAACAACGUGCCAAAAAGAUUCGUCAUGAGUCUUUAGCUAACAGGUUUGAUUUGAAGACCCUUCGAGCCCUCAGUUUCAUUUUAAUGGAGAAUCUUAAAGGAAAACUCAAAGAUCUACCUGGU